UACGUAGGUGGCAAGCGUUAUCCGGAAUGAUUGGGCGUAAAGCGUCUGUAGGUGGCUUUUUAAGUCCGCCGUCAAAUCCCAGGGCUCAACUCUGGACAGGCGGUGGAAACUACCAAGCUGGAGUACGGUAGGGGCAGAGGGAAUUCGGUGUAGUGGUGAAAUGCGUAGAGAUCGGGAGGAACACCAGUGGCGAAGGCGGUGGCCUGGACCGAUGCUGACGCUGAGGCGCGAAAGCGUGGGGAGCGAUCCGG
rnacentral:rRNA from 1 species